AUCCAGCUCACGAGUCGUAAAUAGGAUGAAACGCGCGUCCUGGAU
rfam:Schistosoma rodhaini strain Burundi genome assembly, scaffold: SROB_scaffold0004484